GAGAGUACUUUGUCAUGAUCUGGCUGUGACAUCUGUCACCCCAUUGAUCGCCAGGGUUGAUUCAGCUGAUCUGGCUGGCUAGGCUGGUGUCCCCUUCCUCCCUCACCACUCCAUGUGCAUCCCUCCCGAAGCUGCACUCUCGGUUGAGGAGGACGGCCUUCCCCGAACAGAGACGGACCCGUCUUCAGUCGAGGGUAUACGAGUAGCUGCACUCCCCUGCUAGAACCUCCAAACAAGCUCUCAAAUUAAUUAUCUGUCCAAUUUUUAAAUAUUUAUAGUUUUAUUUCAAAGAUUGUUAAGAUAACAAGGGUAUAAUUCCAUACAGUUUCCAUCACCAGAGUUCU
rfam:Erinaceus europaeus unplaced genomic scaffold scaffold00104, whole genome shotgun sequence